GGCAUUAGCUCAGCUGGUAGAGCGACGGCUUUGCAAGCCGUAGGUCGCAGGUUCGAUCCCUGUCGCCUCCA
rnacentral:tRNA from 1 species